GACGAACGCUGGCGGCGUGCUUAACACAUGCAAGUCGAACGGAAAGGCCCUGCUUUUGUGGGGUGCUCGAGUGGCGAACGGGUGAGUAACACGUGAGUAACCUGCCCUUGACUUUGGGAUAACUUCAGGAAACUGGGGCUAAUACCGGAUAGGAGCUCCUGCUGCAUGGUGGGGGUUGGAAAGUUUCGGCGGUUGGGGAUGGACUCGCGGCUUAUCAGCUUGUUGGUGGGGUAGUGGCUUACCAAGGCUUUGACGGGUAGCCGGCCUGAGAGGGUGACCGGGCAGAAAGGGGAUGGGAAAAGGGCCCGGCUGCGGCGGGGGGGCGGAGUGGGGGAGGGUGGGGGAGGGGCGCAAGCGUGAGGGAGCAACGCCGCGUGGGGGAGGACGGGCUUUGGGGUAUGAAACGGGUUCGCCAGUGACAAGACAAGAAUGACGGUAAUGGGAAAAGAAGCGACGGCUAAAUACGUG
rnacentral:rRNA from 1 species